rnacentral:rRNA from 1 species
GUGGGGAAUCUUCCGCAAUGGACGAAAGUCUGACGGAGCGACGUCGCGUGAGUGAAGAAGGCCUUCGGGUCGUAAAGCUCUGUCAUCAGGGACGAACGGCCGGUGGAGUGGAAAGCCACCGGAUUGACGGUACCUGAGAAGGAAGCCACGGCUAACUACGUGCCAGCAGCCGCGGUAAUACGUAGGUGGCAAGCGUUGUCCGGAAUUAUUGGGCGUAAAGCGCGCGCAGGUGGGAUCUUAAGUCCAUUUUUAAAGUUCGGAGCUCAACUCCGUGAUGGGAUGGAAACUGGGAUUCUUGAGUACCGGAGAGGAAAGCGGAAUUCCCCGUGUAGCGGUGAAAUGCGUAGAUAUGGGGAGGAACACCAGUGGCGAAGGCGGCUUUCUGGACGGUGUCUGACACUGAGGCGCGAAAGCCAGGGGAGCGAACGGGAUUAGAUACCCCGGUAGUCC